CUUACGGGAGGCAGCGGUGGGGAAUGGUGCACAAUGGGGGAAAGCCUGAAGCUCCCAUGCUUGUAAAAGGAUGAUCUUCUUAAGAACCACAAGCCUGUCAGUAGCGGGCAUAAUGACGCACNUACUGAGAAGGACCCCANCC
rnacentral:rRNA from 1 species